rnacentral:rRNA from 1 species
AGUGAACGCUGGCGGUAGGCCUAACACAUGCAAGUCGAACGGCAGCACAGUAAGAGCUUGCUCUUACGGGUGGCGAGUGGCGGACGGGUGAGGAAUACAUCGGAAUCUACUUUUUCGUGGGGGAUAACGUAGGGAAACUUACGCUAAUACCGCAUACGACCUACGGGUGAAAGCAGGGGAUCUUCGGACCUUGCGCGAUUGAAUGAGCCGAUGUCGGAUUAGCUAGUUGGCGGGGUAAAGGCCCACCAAGGCGACGAUCCGUAGCUGGUCUGAGAGGAUGAUCAGCCACACGGGAACUGAGACAGGGUCCAGACUCCUACGGGAGGCAGCAGUGGGGAAUAUUGGACAAUGGGCGCAAGCCUGGUCCAGCCAUACCGCGUGGGUGAAGAAGGCCUUCGGGGUGUAAAGCCCUUUUGUUGGGAAAGAAAAGCAGCAGGUUAAUACCCCGCUGUUCUGACGGUACCCAAAGAAUAAGCACCGGCUAACUUCGUG